GAUGAACGCUAGCGGCAGGCUUAAUACAUGCAAGUCGAGGGGCAGCACGGGUAGCAAUACUGGGUGGCGACCGGCAAACGGGUGCGGAACACGUACACAACUUACCUUAUGGUGGGGGAUAGCCUUUGGAAACGGAGAUUAAUACCCCAUAAUAUAUUAUGGUCGCAUGAUCGUGAUAUUAAAGAUUUCUUGCCAUAAGCUUGGUGUGCGUAUGAUUAGGUAGUUGGUAGGGUAAAGGACUACCAAGCCAACGAUCAUUAACUGGUGUGAGAGCACGACCAGUCACACGGGCACUGAGACACCGGCCCGACUCCUACGGGAGGCAGCAGUAAGGAAUAUUGGUCAAUGGACGGAAGUCUGAACCAGCCAUGCCGCGUGGGGGAUGAAGGUCCUCUGGAUUGUAAACUUCUUUUAUAGGGGGCGAAAAAGGGCCUUUUUAGGUCAACUGACGGUACCCUAUGAAUAAGCACCGGCUAACUCCGUGCCAGCAGCCGCCGUAAAAC
rnacentral:rRNA from 1 species